CAGUAGCCACGGUAAUACGUAGGGUGCAAGCGUUAAUCGGAAUUACUCGGCGUAAAGCGUGCGCAGGCGGUUAUAUAAGACAGAUGUGAAAUCCCCGGGCUCAACCUGGGAACUGCAUUUGUGACUGUAUAGCUAGAGUACGGCAGAGGGGGAUGGAAUUCCGCGUGUAGCAGUGAAAUGCGUAGAUAUGCGGAGGAACACCGAUGGCGAAGGCAAUCCCCUGGGCCUGUACUGACGCUCAUGCACGAAAGCGUGGGGAGCAAACAGGAUUAGAGACCCCAGUAGUCCCUGUCUCUUAUAC
rnacentral:rRNA from 1 species